rnacentral:sRNA from 1 species
AGUUUUCCAGAAAAAGACCUUCUGCACUGUCCAUCUAAGGAUGCAAUUGAAGCUCAUUUUAUGUCAUGUAUGAAAGAAGCUGAUGCUUUAAAACAUAAAAGUCAAGUAAUCAAUGAAAUGCAGAAAAAAGAUCACAAGCAACUCUGGAUGGGAUUGCAAAAUGACAGAUUUGACCAGUUUUGGGCCAUCAAUCGGAAACUCAUGGAAUAUCCUGCAGAAGAAAAUGGAUUUCGUUAUAUCCCCUUUAGAAUAUAUCAGACAACGACUGAAAGACCUUUCAUUCAGAAGCUGUUUCGUCCUGUUGCUGCAGAUGGACAGUUGCACACACUAGGAGAUCUCCUCAAAGAAGUUUGUCCUUCUGCUGUUGAUCCUGAAGGUAAUACAAUCAGCAACAUUAAAACAUUUCUUUCAUUUUCUGUUACUGAAGUAAAAUAAGCAUUCCACAUUUAUAAACAACAGGUUAUUUCAGGAAGAUAUUUUCAUAUCUUAUAGCGAAAAGUCUUUUCAAACAGAAGCACUUAAUAUUUAAUAUAUUAUUUUGUAAAUUAUUGACUAACAAAAUGAUGACUCGACUCUCUGACAAAAUAAAAUACAGUUUUUAAAUCA